GACAGAGGCCUCAAGCGUUAGGCGGAAUCACUGGGCUUAAAGGGCUCGUAGGCGGCCAACUAAGUCACACGUGAAAUCCCCAGGCUUAACCUGGGAACUGCGUGUGAUACUGGAUGGCUUGAAUCCGGGAGAGGGAUGCGGAAUUCCAGGUGUAGCGGUGAAAUGCGUAGAUAUCUGGAGGAACACCGGUGGCGAAGGCGGCAUCCUGGACCGGUAUUGACGCUGAUGAGCGAAAGCCAGGGGAGCAAACGGG
rnacentral:rRNA from 1 species